GGGCCGGUGGCUCAGCCCGGUAGAGCGACAGGCUCUUAACUUGUUGGCCGCGGGUUCGAAUCCCGCCCGGCCCGCCA
rnacentral:tRNA from 1 species